UACGGAGGGGGCAAGCGUUGUUCGGAAUUACUGGGCGUAAAGGGCGCGCAGGCGGCUGCUCAAGUCAGGCGUGAAAGGCCUGGGCUCAACCCGGGAAUUGCGCUUGAGACUGGGCUGGCUUGAGUGCGGGAGAGGAUGGUGGAAUUCCCAGUGUAGAGGUGAAAUGCGUAGAUAUUGGGAGGAACACCAGUGGCGAAGGCGGCUCACUGGACUGGUACUGACGCUGAGGCGCGAAAGCGUGGGGAGCAAACAGG
rnacentral:rRNA from 1 species